rnacentral:rRNA from 1 species
GAUGAACGCUAGCGGCAGGCCUAAUACAUGCAAGUCGGACGGGAUUUGGGAGCUUGCUCCUAAUGAGAGUGGCGCACGGGUGCGUAACACGUAUGUAACCUACCUUAAUCAGGGGGAUAGCCUCUCGAAAGAGAGAUUAACACCGCAUAACAUAUUUUUAUGGCAUCGUAGAAAUAUCAAAUAUUUAUAGGAUUAAGAUGGGCAUGCGGAGCAUUAGCUAGUUGGUAAGGUAACGGCUUACCAAGGCUACGAUGUUUAGGGGUUCUGAAAGGCUGCCCCCCCACACCGGUACUGAGAACCGGAACAGACUCCUCCGGGAGGCAGCAGUAAGGAAUAUGGGUCAAUGGGCGCAAGCCUGAACCAGCCAUGCCGCGUGCAGGAAGACGGUCCUAUGGGUUGUAAACUGCUUUUGUACCGGAAUAAACCCUUUUACGUGUAGAAGGCUGAAUGUACGGUAAGAAUAAGGAUCGGCUAACUCCGUGCCAGCAGCCGCGGUAAAAC